UAGGGAAUCUUCGGCAAUGGGGGGAACCCUGACCGAGCAACGCCGCGUGAGUGAAGAAGGUUUUCGGAUCGUAAAGCUCUGUUGUUAAGGAAGAACGAGUGUGAGAAUGGAAAGUUCAUGCUGUGACGGUACUUAACCAGAAAGGGACGGCUAACUACGUGCCAGCAGCCGCGGUAAUACGUAGGUCCCGAGCGUUGUCCGGAUUUAUUGGGCGUAAAGCGAGCGCAGGCGGUUAGAUAAGUCUGAAGUUAAAGGCAGUGGCUCAACCAUUGUAGGCUUUGGAAACUGUUUAACUGGAGUGCAGAAGGGGAGAGUGAAAUUCCAUGUGUAGCGGUGAAAUGCGUAGAUAUAUGGAGGAACACCGGUGGCGAAAGCGGCUCUCUGGUCUGUAACUGACGCUGAGGCUCGAAAGCGUGGGGAGCGAACAGG
rnacentral:rRNA from 1 species